AUGGCUGCCGCCGCCGCCAGGGCAGGCGGCCGCCCGUGGCGUGUGAUCCCGCGGCCGGUCAUGGAGACCGUCCUCCACAACCACGCCCUCCACCCGCGCGUGCCGCAGCCGCUGCUCCUCCACGGCCCCCGCGGCGUCGGCAAGUCCACGCUCCUCCUCAACCGCCUCCUCCCUCAGUGGUCCGAGCCCCCGCACUACGCUGCCUUCGUCGACUUCCUCCACCCCUCUCCCAGUUCCCCUGCUCAUGCGCCCUGGUCUCUCCUCUCAGACACGCCCCCCUCCCUGCCCUCCCUCCGCCUCCGGCUCGAGUCCGCGCUGGAGGAACUCACCCGCGCCGCAGUACUCCGAGGUGCCGUCGGUUCCAAGGACGUGCUCGCCGCGCUCUCACGGUCCCACGGCCUCCACACCGUGCUCUCUCGCCUCGCGGGCCCUGCCUCCCGCCGCGGCCAGGGCACUAACUCGGUUCCGGUGCUCUGGGCAAGGGCUGUCCUAGCUGCAACCUCCUCGGCCCGUGGUGACGACCCCACCUUCCGCAUUGGUGAGGGGGAGGCAACGAACUGCUCCAUGGAGGAGAGGGCGUACAUGCAGGAGGCCAUGGCGGCGCUGCGUGUGGCCAAGGAAGUUCUCGGGAUGCAGGAGGGGUGGAGGAAGGAGGCGGUGCGGGAGAUGAAUAGGACAGGCCGGUUCUCCCGUCCACUGGCCAAUUCGGCCACAGACUGGCCAUGCCUCUUGCUGGAUGUGUUGUCAGGCGCAGCCGAGGAGGAUUUUUUCCAGCCAAAGCUGGUGCUGAACAACGUUGAUGCCCUGAGGAAGGCGACAUGCGAGGACGAUACAAUGGUACCCGCAGCAGUGUACCAUGACAGCUUCAUUUGGAGGGUGAUAGCACUCGGUGCUAAUGAACAGUGCUUACCGGUCAUUAUGUCCACCUCAGAUGGAUACUAUUCUUCCCAAGCAUUCGUCGAUUUUGGUUUUCCUAAUAUCUUCAUUUCUCGUGAGACGUUUGGUUGGACACCACAAGAAGCUAAGCUGCAUAUGGUUUCUGAGUUCUUCAGUGAACAGGAGUGGAAAGUCGUUGAUGAGCUUCUUGGACCAAACCCACGACAAUUAUGUGAGAUAUAUAUGCUAAAGCAAAAGGCGAAUGACCCAGAGGUUUUGCAUGACACAAACAUUGAGGAAAUUAUUGACACAUACCUGGCACACUUGCAAGUAUCUGUUGUGAAUCCCGCAAUGCAAACAGCAUUAAGUAUGGUGCAGAAGUUUGCUUCUGAUGUACGCGAGGGUAAAGUACCAGAGAACAGAUUGUCUUUUGGUGCGCCUUGGAGACAUCCACGGGCUGACAAUCCUGACAUGUGCUAUAAGUGGGCAAAGAUUCAACUGAUGGAUUUUGUUCAGUCUUAUGUAAACACAGAAUUUGGGUUGAAUUACCUAGCAGAUGAUAGCCUGGAAAUAUUGGAUGAUCCUGCAGCAGUCGCCAUGAUGGAGGUUGGCUUACUUUAUCAACAGAGAGAUCCAUCCUUUGUGCGACCAAUCACACGUGGGAUUCAGCGUUGUCUUGCUAGAUGGUGCGUUCUUGAACUUAUGUGGUAUUGUAAAUGUUUUUUUUUCUUAUGGCACUUUUUUUGUGGUUAUGCGAAGGCUUGUUCAGCAGAGACUAGAGUUGACCCUUCAAGAAUCAAUAUCAUUCUCAUGGCAACGUGUAAUUCGUGGGCGAAGCUAUCGACACUUGAUGAAGGAAGUUGGCUACAAGUAACAAGUUUAUGCCAAGAAAAAACAGGUUAA
rnacentral:rRNA from 1 species